rnacentral:rRNA from 1 species
CAAUAGCGUAUAUUAAAGUUGUUGCGGUUAAAAGCUCGUAGUUGGAGUUCUGCCAGGUGACGCUCGUCCGCCCAAGUGGUGUGUACAGGGCGUGCAUCUGGCCCUUUCAAGGGGAACGUGUCUGCUCUUUAUUGAGUGGUGCGAGAUCCUUGACUUUUACUUUGAGGAAAUCAGAGUGUUCCAAGCAGGCUCUCGUCGUGUAUAGCUCAGCAUGGAAUAAUAGCAUUGGACUUCGUUUCUAAGCUGUUGGUUGCAAGAAGCGAGGUAAUGAUGAAGAGGGAUAGUUGGGGGCAUUCGUAUUUAACUGUCAGAGGUGAAAUUCUUGGACCUUCGGAAGACUAACAACUGCGAAAGACAUUCGCCUAGGAUGUUCUUCUUUAAUCAAGAACGAAAGUUAGGGGAGUCGAAGAUGAUCAGAUACCAU